UCGAAACAAAGUAGGAAAACCUGAAGGUCUUUCUAAA
rnacentral:rRNA from 1 species